AGCUUUGCGCAGUGGCAGUAUCGUAGCCAAUGAGGUUUAUCUGAGGCGCGAUUAUUGCUAAUUGAGUAAUGUAUGGAGUUGUUGAAUCAAUAUGUGCACACUGGAAACUAAUAUAACAUUGUAUGUUAAUUAUACUUUAAUUAAAAA
rnacentral:snRNA from 1 species